UGGGGAAUAUUGCACAAUGGAGGAAACUCUGAUGCAGCAAUGCCGCGUGAGUGAAGAAGGCCCUUGGGUCGUAAAGCUCUUUUAUGAGGGAAGAUGAUGACGGUACCUCAGGAAUAAGCACCGGCUAACUACGUGCCAGCAGCCGCGGUAAUACGUAGGAUGCGAGCGUUGUUCGGAAUUACUGGGCGUAAAGGGCGCGCAGGCGGAAUAGCAAGUCGGAGGUGAAAGCCCGGGGCUCAACCCCGGAGGGUCUUUCGAAACUGCUAUUCUAGAGAGGGUCAGGGGCCAGCAGAAUUCCUGGUGUAGAGGUGAAAUUCGUAGAUAUCAGGAGGAAUACCGGUGGCGAAAGCGGCUGGCUGGGGCCACUCUGACGCUGAGGCGCGAAAGCGUGGGGAGCAAACAGG
rnacentral:rRNA from 1 species